rnacentral:lncRNA from 1 species
UAAAUCUAAUCAAUUGUUGUCUUAGAUUAGGUCAAGGAUUCUCUAGAUCAAUUACAAUAGUUGUAGUUGGUCAAGUCCAUGUCUUUAACGAGAACCAAAUAGACUUGAUUCUUGGCUAAGCGAUCUAGCAUGAACUGUUAGAUUGAUCCAAUCGAAACUAAUUAAACUAGUUGGUGUCUAAGGUAAACCAGACCGGUGGUUUUUAAUUGGGAGCCCACUUAUCUAGCCAUUUCUGAUGGUGUCUAAGGCAAGCUUUGGCAGACCCUUCCACCGAUUGAACUUACCUGACCUCUUGAUGAAAUUAUAUUUUGAUUGGACCACUUGACUAUUCGAGCUAACCCAUGUCAGCUACGUAAAUCAGUGUGACUGAUUUAGGUGCUCCUAGACCAGCCCUUUUAAUGAUCUCCCUUAAGCUGACUUGGUGAAGCUAGUGGGAGGAUCAUGAUAAGCUGGUUCAUCUGACCUCAUCCUCUAAAUCAAUUAAAUCUUCUAAAAUUAUUAGGUCCUUAAAAUAAAACAGUUAUGGUGAUAACUAGAUCAUAGCCUCCCAUUAAGUGGAUGAUAAUGAGUCCAUCAGUUGGAUAAUCAUUCGAGGCCCAAAGGCCUGGUGCUUAUCGACUGAUGGAAUUAUCAUUCAUAAUAUGAUUUUUUUACUGCAUCUUUCUAAAUGAUGGUUAGGUUAGUCAAUCAAAAUUGGGCCUAAUCAUUCAUUGGCUAGAUGGGCCAAGUAUGGUCAUGUUAAUGGUUGAACCUAACCAGACCUUUUCAGC